GAUAAUCUACCUGAUGAUUCGGGAUAACACUUCGAAAGGGGUGCUAAUACGGGAUAAGCCCACGGAGGCUUUGGACACUGCGGGAAAAGGAGGGGACCUUCGGGCCUUCCGUCAUCAGAUGAGUCUGCGUACCAUUAGCUAGNUGGUAGGGUAAAGGCCUACCAAGGCGACGAUGGUUAGCUGGUCUGAGAGGAUGAUCAGCCACACUGGAACUGAGACACGGUCCAGACUCCUACGGGAGGCAGCAGUGGGGAAUUUUGCGCAAUGGGGGAAACCCUGACGCAGCAACGCCGCGUGAGUGAUGAAGGCCCUUGGGUCGUAAAGCUCUGACAGAGGGAAAGAAAUGUGGGUGGCUAAUAUCCAUUCCACUUGACGGUACCCUCAAAGGAAGCACCGGCUAACUCCGUGCCAGCAGCCGCGGUAAUACG
rnacentral:rRNA from 1 species